rnacentral:rRNA from 1 species
UACGGAGGGUGCGAACGUUAAUCGGAAUCACUGGGCGUAAAGCGCGCGUAGGCGGUCUGUUAAGUGGGAUGUGAAAUCCCCGGGCUCAACCUGGGAACUGCAUCCGAAACUGCCUUGCUCGAGUAUGGGAGAGGGAAGUGGAAUUUCCGGUGUAGCGGUGAAAUGCGUAGAUAUCGGAAGGAACAUCAGUGGCGAAGGCGACUUCCUGGACCAAUACUGACGCUCAGGUGCGAAAGCGUGGGGAGCAAACAGG